rnacentral:rRNA from 1 species
UACGGAGGGUGCGAGCGUUGUCCGGAAUCAUUGGGCGUAAAGGGCGCGUAGGUGGCCACUUCAAGCGUGCGGUGAAAGUCGGGGGCUCAACCCCUGAUCGGCCGUGCGAACUGGGGGGCUGGAGCACUGUAGAGGCAGGCGGAAUUCCCGGGGUGUGAGCGGUGGAAGUGCGUAGAGAUCCGGAAGAACACCGGUGGCGAAGGCACUCUACUGGGCCAUUACUGACACUGAGAGACGAAAGCUAGGGGGAGCAAAUGGG